rnacentral:lncRNA from 1 species
GUAAGUUCCAAGGUUUCUGUAGGCAGGUAUUUUGUAUUUGAUGUGGUGAGAAACAGAAACUCGUAUUUAGGGGCCCCAGAUGGAUUUAAAGUUUUGGGCAUUCUCAAUGUUUCCUAUUUUGGGUUGGAAACGGAAGUGAUUUCUGUCCCAGUGGCUGGUAUCUUAUGGAAUCAUAGAGGAUAUUUCCUGCAGUGGAUUGGAUAUCUGCUCCUGAGAUAUAAUGUGGUGGAAGAGUUCCUGUGGCAGCGUCAUUUUUGGAGUUAUCUGUCUUCUAGAAUUAAUUAUUCCUGCUUUUGGAUAAUAUUAAAAAGCCUCCUUUGGAUAUAUCCCUUCUACUCAAUGGAGCUAUUUGGCUACAGGUUUUGUGGUCAUGCUAUUUGGAAUAUUCCUGGAAUACUAAGAGCCUACAGAUUAUUUUCAAAGUUAUUUGCUUCUUGGUGUUCACUACAUGAAGUGUACAAACAAAUUGGAUUGUCGUGAAAAAUGUAGCAGACCAUAAUGAUUCAACCAUUUGGAUUCUACAAACAAUACUUUAACAUGGAAAUGUAUACUUGGAUGAAGAAGAGUGAAGGCAAUGCUUGAAUUUUCCAUUUUGGAUCUACACAGUUUCGAUGUUGGAAUUACACUCCUUGAUGGAAUGGGGAAAAUUGAGAUGAUGGAACAUUCAUAAAUUCUGGAAUAUAGCCAUUCUUUUCUAAUUGCUGGAAUGUAUGGGGUGGCAUGCUUUCAAGACUCCAUUAGCCCAGAGGAAGAGGAUUACUAUUUCAUUUCUUAAGCAAGUUGCUUCUAACUAAAGGUACUUUAACUUUGAACUCAUGGUGAUGAUUGGUUGUGGAUACGACGAUCAAAACUGACUGGCUGGAUGGCUACAAAAGUGAACAGUUGGCAAGCAACCAUGUCUUCCUCAUUUGUUGGAAUUGUAGAGAUCUGUCCUCUUCUGCCAGCUGUCUGAUUCACACUUAGGGCUGGAGAUUUUUAUGAAUGUGGAUCAAUUUAUAAGUAUCUGCUAUCUCAAGAAAGAAGUCUGGGGGUUUGAGAGUUACAGUUUGUCUGGGACUACUUGCUUCCAGUGGAAUUAUUUUGUCUGGUCACUAUGAUUUUUUUUUUCUUUGUGGUUCAUCUAAAUAUCAUUUGACACCCUUGCCCAUUAAGAAGGUGGAUUACCCCCAUAAGAGGGGCCAAAAUUGGGGAAGUUAUGUUCACAAUUUCUCCCCCUAGAUUUAAUUGGGAUUAUAGGUCGUGUUUCCACAGUUGGAAAAGGGCUUCAGAUAACAGGGAGCGUGCUUAUGAACAUAGUGCCUAUGGACACCAUGAACGGGGACGGAGCAUUUGAUCGGACAAGACAUUACAGAUCAGGAUUACUAUAGAGAUCCUCGAG